rnacentral:rRNA from 1 species
AGAGUUUGAUCAUGGCUCAGAGCGAACGCUGGCGGCAGGCUUAACACAUGCAAGUCGAGCGCCGUAGCAAUACGGAGCGGCAGACGGGUGAGUAACACGUGGGAACGUGCCUUUUGGUUCGGAAUAACUCAGGGAAACUUGAGCUAAUACCGGAUGAGCCCUUCGGGGGAAAGAUUUAUCGCCGAAAGAUCGGCCCGCGUAAGAUUAGCUUGUUGGUGAGGUAAUGGCUCACCAAGGCUACGAUCUUUAGCUGGUCUGAGAGGAUGAUCAGCCACACUGGGACUGAGACACGGCCCAGACUCCUACGGGAGGCAGCAGUGGGGAAUAUUGGACAAUGGGCGCAAGCCUGAUCCAGCCAUGCCGCGUGAGUGAUGAAGGCCUUAGGGUUGUAAGCUCUUUUAGCAGGGACGAUAAUGACGGUACCUGCAGAAUAAGCCCCGGCAACUUCGUGCCAGCAGCCGCGGUAAUAC